UGCGAGAAUGAGCCCAGGAUCUGAUGCAUGGUAAAGCCGCGCACUAAGCUGCGAAGCAUAUACCAAGCGCUUUCUGCGUGUUGCCCAUGCACUCCACAUUCAGCGAGAAUAGAUUUAAUGAAGUCGUAAAGUUCUUUGUCGCCUGCCCGCCACUCGGCACAAUCAAUUGUGGCCGUUCUGGAUGUGGCAGCCCACAAGGCGGGACGGUCCAACGCAUACUGUCGCAUUUCUCGGGCAACCGACUUCAAGGCGUCAAAUGACGUUUGGUCCUUGCAUGCUGUCUUCAACCUAACGAGAAGGUCGCGAUACCCCUUUAUGGCGAAGAAUCUCCGCAAUUCCGGAAACGGAUAACGCUUGUCGCCGCAGAAAUCCUUUACC
rnacentral:misc_RNA from 1 species